rnacentral:rRNA from 1 species
AGCAGCAGCCGCGGUAAUACGGAGGGUGCAAGCGUUGAUCGGAAUUACUGGGCGUAAAGCGCACGCAGGCGGUUUGUUAAGUCAGACGUGAAAUCCCCGAGCUUAACUUGGGAACUGCAUUUGAAACUGGCAAGCUAGAGUCUUGUAGAGGGGGGUAGAAUUCCAGGUGUAGCGGUGAAAUGCGUAGAGAUCUGGAGGAAUACCGGUGGCGAAGGCGGCCCCCUGGACAAAGACUGACGCUCAGGUGCGAAAGCGUGGGGAGCAAACAGGAUUAGAUACCCCUGUAGUCCCUGUCUCUUAUAC